rnacentral:rRNA from 1 species
UACAGAGGGGGCAAGCGUUGUUCGGAAUUACUGGGCGUAAAGGGCGCGUAGGCGGCCCGCUAAGUCGGGUGUGAAAUUUCGGAGCUUAACUCCGAAACUGCAUUCGAUACUGGCGUGCUUGAGGACUGGAGAGGAGACUGGAAUUUACGGUGUAGCAGUGAAAUGCGUAGAUAUCGUAAGGAAGACCAGUGGCGAAGGCGGGUCUCUGGACAGUUCCUGACACUGGGACACGAAGGCCAGGGGAGCAAACGGG